ensembl:lncRNA
GGGAGGCAGUCUGUAGUUUCCAUUCUGAGGAUCAACCUGUUUUUCUCUAUGGCUUAUUUUACCUCCUUAGAAGAAAUGGCUUUUUCUUUCUGCUGUUAUUGUGCAUGCAGCUAAAUGUUUGCCCAGACUGACUUGUGAGCCUGGGGGAGGAGGAAGAGGGAGACUUUGUCAGUCUUUCUAAGUUGAGCUCUGGGCUCCUCUGGCUGGCCUGACUCUGGCUCUACUCUGACAAAACUCCCAGCUGCAGCUGCAGCCAAGAUGUGAGCUGCCGGCCAAUCAACUCAACCCCAGCCCGGAGAGAGACAGGGCUCAGGUUCAACUCACACAUGGACUUUCCUUAGAGGUGUAAGGUCCCAAACUGUGACGUCAUCCUGAAGUGGACUGACUCCUCCUGGUUUCAAUAUGGCUCUCUGUACUGUCUGUAGUCAAGAGGAGUUCUCCAUAGCUGCAGUGUACAGUCAGAUCAAGGGGACUGGCACUCCCUGCACUAGCAAUGUACCGUACUACCAUUGGGUUCAGCUGUUUGUAAUAUUGGCGGAGCAGCGUGUACUAUACACAUAAAUAAUGCCACAUGCUUCAGCAAGCCCAGAGAAGAAGGGAGAGACUGAGGCCCUUAUAGGGGGAGAGGACACAUCUAAUGUAUUACAAUCUACUGCUGUGAUAGGGAAACUUGGAAGCACUAGAAUGGCUAGUCUUGUCAUCUUAAAUUGAUUGUGUCUCCAGUUUAUGCUCAGCCAUUAGUAUGAUCUAGAUGUUAGUACACUUUUAGAAAAAUACAUUGUACCAAAAAAUCAACUGAAAUCAGUGAACAUUCUUACUACUUCACUAUAUCUGUAUCUACAAACUAUUGGAGAAAAAAAAACUAGAACCCAAACGGUUUCCACCUGGAACCAAAAAGGGUUCUUCAAAUGGAUCUCCUUUGGGGACAGCUGAAGAAACCUUCUGGGUAUUAGAUAGCACCUUUUUUUCUCCAAGAGUUUGUAGAUACAGAU